CUACGGGUUGCUCCAGUGAGGACUAUUGCACAAUGGGGGGGACCCUGAUGCAGCAACGCCGCGUGGAGGAUGACGCAUUUCGGUGUGUAAACUCCUUUUAUAUGUCAAGAAAAUGACGGUAGCAUAUGAAUAAGCACCGGCUAACUCCGUGCCAGCAGCCGCGGUAAUACGGAGGGUGCAAGCGUUACUCGGAAUCACUGGGCGUAAAGGACGCGUAGGCGGGUUGGAAAGUCAGGUGUGAAAUCCUACAGCUUAACUGUAGAACUGCACUUGAAACUUCUAAUCUAGAGUAUGGGAGGGGGAGAUGGAAUUAGUGGUGUAGGGGUAAAAUCCGUAGAUAUCACUAGGAAUACCUAAAGCGAAGGCGAUCUCCUGGAACAUUACUGACGCUAAGGCGUGAAAGCGUGGGGAGCAAACAGGAUUAGAUACCCGGGUAGUC
rnacentral:rRNA from 1 species